rnacentral:rRNA from 1 species
GGCUGUCGUCAGCUCGGUGUCGUGAGACUGUUCCGGUUAAGUCCGCUAACGAGCGCAACCCUCACUGUGUGUUAUAUGUGUCACACGGGACUGCCGGUUUUAAGCCGGAGGAAGUGGGGAUGACGUCAAGUCCUCACUUGGCCCUUAUAGGUGGGGCUACACACGUCAUACAAUGGCCGGUACAAAGGGCAGCAAACCCGCGAGGGGGAGCCAAUCCAUCAAAGCCGGUCGUAGUCCGGAUCGCAGUCUGCAACUCGACUGCGUGAAGUCGGAAUCGCUAGUAAUCGUGGAUCAGCAUGUCACGGUGAAUACGUUCCCGGGUCUU